rnacentral:lncRNA from 1 species
CCACCACCAAAAUCAAGAUACUCAAUUUUACCAUCACCACAAGACUCUCUUGUGUUACCUCUUUUAUAGCUGCACUUAUUCUGCCUCCCUCAUCCUUGGCUUCACCAAUAUGUUCUCCAGCUCUAUCAUUGUUAUUUAACGAUUGUUACUUAAAUAGAAUCAUGGCAAUAUGUAUCCUUUUGAGAUUGGCUUUUCUCCCUUAGCAUAACUUCUUUGAGGUUCAUUCAAGUUGUUCUGUGUACCAGUAGUUCACUCAUUCUUAUUGCAGAGUAGUAUUCCAUGGUGUGAAUGUACCAUGGUUUUAAUUUUUUUUUUUUUUGAGAUGGAGUCUUGCUUUGUUGCCCAGGCUGGAGUGCAGUGGCGCGAUCUUGGCUCACUGCAAGCUCUGCCUCCCAGGUUCACGCCAUUCUCCUGCCUCAGCCUCCCGAGUAGCUUGUACUACAGGCGCCCGCCACCACGCCCGGAUAAUUUUUUGUAUUUUUAGUGGAGAUGGGGUUUCACCAUGUUAGCCAGGAUGGUCUUGAUCUCCCGACCUCGUGAUCCGCCCGCCUCGGCCUCCCAAAGCGCUGGGAUUAUAGGCAUGAGCCACCGCGCCCGGCCCCAGUUUUAAUUUUUUUAGCCAUUCAAACUUUGAAGGACAUUCGGAUAGUUUCCAAUUUGGGGUAUUAUGAGUAAAGCUGCUAUGAGUAUUCAAAUACAAGUUCCUAACUGACAUCUUUACUAGGUUCAGUCUUUCAGUCCAUGAAUGUGGCAUGUUUCUCCAUCAGCGUUUUAUAAUUUUUGUCACACCAAUCCUGUACAUAUUUUGUCCAAUUCAUACUUAAGUAUUUAAUUUUUUAUAUCACCUGUCAGCUCAUGCCUACUAAGUAUUUAAUUUUUUUCUUCAGCAGUUUAAAAUCAAAUUUCUUGGUUUCCACUUGUUCAUUGUGAGUAUAUAGAAAUGCAGUUGAUUUUUAUGUGUUGAUCUGGUUAUAUCCUGUGACUUUCCUGAAUAGUUAUAGAAGUUUUUUGUGGAUUCCAUGGGGUUUUCUAAUAGACAGUCAUGCUGUCUACAAAUCUGCAAAUAGAUAGUUUUCUUUCUUUUCAAUCUAUAUGCAUUUAAUUUCUUUCUUAUGCCUUAUUGUAGUGACUAGGACUUCCAGUCUCUGUUAAAUAAGAAUAGUGAACAUAAGCCAGGCGCUGUGGCUCAUACCUGUAAUCCCAGCACUUUGGGAAACUGAGGUGGGUGGAUCACCUAAGGUCAGGAGUUGAGACCAGCCUGGCCAACAUGGUGAGACCCCAUCUCUACUAAAAAUAUAAAAUUAACCGGGCAUGGUGGCGCAUGCCUGUAAUCCCAGCUACUCAGGAGGCAAGGCUGGAGAGUCGCUUGAACCCGGGAGGUGGAGGUUGCAGUGAGCUGAGAUUGUGCCAUUGCACUCCAGCCUGGGCACCAAGAGCGAAACUCUGUCUCAAAAAAAAUAAAUAAAUAGUGAACAUGAAUGUUCUUGCCUUGUUUCCAGUCUUAGAGGAAAAACAUUCAAUAUUUCAGCAUUAAGCAUGAUGUUAGCUUUAGGUUUUUCACAGAUGCUCUUUAUGAGACCAAGGACAUUUCCCUCUAUUCCUUGUGUCUUAAUCCAUUUUGUGCCACUAUAACAGAAUACCACAGACUGGGAAAUUUAUAAAGAACAGAAAUUUAUUUCUUAUGGUUCUGGAGUCCAAGAUCAAGGCACCAGCAGGUAUGGUUCCAGCAGGUACGGUUCCACCCUCUAGUUGCAAGAUGGUGCCUUGCUGCUGUGUUCUCACAUGGCAGAUAGCAGAUGUGCAAGAGAAAGCAAACCCACUCCUGCAAGUCAUUUUUGUAGUGGCAUUAAUCCAUUAAUGAGGGCAGAGCCCUCAUGACCUAAACACUUACAAAAAGUCCCACUUUCCCAACACUGUUGCAUUGAGGAUUCAGUUUUCAACACAUGACUUUGGGGAGCAUAUUCAGACCAUAACACCUUGUGUACUAGAUCAUGAAUCGGUGUUGAAUUUUGUCAAAUGUUUUUUCUGCAUCAUUUCUGUCAUCAUGUUAUUUUCAUUCUUUAGUUUGUUGGUAUAGGGGAUUAAAUUGAUUGGUUUUUAAAUAUCUUGGAUCAGCUUUGUAUGACCUGGAAUCAAUCCCACUUUCUUGUGGAAUAUUAUUUUUUAUAUACAUUAUUUGAUUUGCUAAAAUUUUGUUGAGGAUUUUUGUGUCUAAGUUCAUGAGAAAUAUUGAUGUGUAGUUUUAUUUUCUGCUAUCUUUUUCUGUUGCUGGCAUCAGGGUAAUACUGGCCUCAUGAAAUUAGUUAGGAAGUGUUCCUUCUAUUUUCUGGAAGAGAUUACAUAAACUUUGCAUUAAUUCUUUGACUGGUGAAAUUCUCCAGUGAAACCAUCUAGGCCUGGAGAUUUCUUUUUUGGGAGCUUUUAAAUUACAAACUCAAUUUCUUUAAUGGUUAUAGGACUAUCCAGAUCUUCUUUCAUUGUGACUGAGUUUUGGUAGUUUAUGGUUCUUGAGGAAUGGGUCCAUUUCUGAUAAGUU